AUGGCGAAGGGGGCGGUCGUGGGGACGACGGCGGUGGUGUGCGCCGCGGCCGCGGCUGCGGCGGCGGUCGGGGUGGCGGUGGUGGUGUCGCGGAGGAGGAGGAGGACGCGGGACGCGGAGGCGGGCAGGCGGAAGAAGGUGGCCGACGUGAUCGAGGAGCUGGAGCAGACGUUGGCCACGCCGACGCCGCUGCUGCGCGGCAUCGCGGACGCCAUGGUGGAGGAGAUGGAGCGCGGGCUGCGCGCCGACCCCCACGCCCCGCUCAAGAUGCUCAUCAGCUACGUCGACAAUCUGCCCACCGGGGAUGAGCAUGGGCUGUUUUAUGCACUGGAUCUUGGUGGGACCAACUUUCGUGUUCUACGGGUUCAGCUUGGAGGAAAGGAGAAACGUGCUGUCCAACAAUAUGAAGAGGUUCCCAUUCCACCUCAUCUGAUGGUUGGGACUUCCACCGAACUAUUUGAUUUCAUUGCGGCUGAGCUGGAAAGAUUUGUUGAGACUGAAGGAGACGAUUUCCACUUGCCUGAGGGCAGACAUAGGGAACUGGGUUUCACCUUUUCUUUCCCAGUACACCAAACAUCGAUAUCGUCAGGCACCCUCGUUAAGUGGACAAAGGGAUUUUGCAUCAAUGGCACGGUUGGGAAAGAUGUGGUGGCUGAACUGAGCAGUGCUAUGGAGAGGCAGGGGCUUGAUAUGAAAGUUACAGCUUUGGUUAAUGAUACUGUAGGCACAUUGGCUGGCGGGAUCUAUGCUGAUAAUGAUGUCGUUGCUGCUGUAAUAUUGGGCACUGGGACAAAUGCAGCGUAUGUUGAGCAUGUAGAUGCAAUUCCAAAAUGGAAGGGACCACUACCUAGAUCAGGAAACAUGGUAAUCAACAUGGAAUGGGGAAACUUUAAGUCAGACAAGCUUCCCCGUUCUGACUACGAUAUUGCCUUGGAUUUUGAAAGUUUGAACCCCGGCGAGCAGAUGUAUGAGAAGAUGAUUUCGGGCAUGUAUCUUGGAGAGGUUGUGCGAAGGAUCUUGCUUAGGCUGGCUCAUGAUGCUUCCUUAUUUGGUGAUGUUGUUCCAUCAAAAUUGGAGAAACUAUUUGUACUGAGGACGCCGGAUAUGUCAACCAUGCAUCAUGACACCUCACAUGAUCUCAAACACCUUGGUGCUAAGCUGAAGGAUAUCCUGGGGGUUGCCGAUACUUCGCUGGAAGCAAGAUACAUAACCCUCCACGUCUGCGACAAGGUCGCGGAGAGAGGCGCGCGCCUGGCUGCCGCCGGCAUAUACGGCAUCCUGAAGAAGCUGGGCAGGGACAGAGCGCCGAGUGACGGCAGUCCGAAGCAAAGGACCGUCGUCGCCAUAGAUGGCGGCCUCUACGAGCACUACAAGAAGUUCAGCUCCCGCGUCGAGGCGACGCUCGCGGAGCUGCUCGGGGAGGCGGCCGCCUCGUCGGUCGUCGUCAAGAUGGCCAACGACGGCUCCGGCAUCGGCGCCGCGCUUCUUGCGGCCUCACACUCCCAGUACAAUGUCGUCGAGUAG
rnacentral:rRNA from 1 species